rnacentral:rRNA from 1 species
UACGACUACAUAUCAGGCAUAUCAAUAAGCGGAGGAAAAGAAACUAACUAGGAUUCCCUCAGUAACGGCGAGUGAAGCGGGAAGAGCUCAAAUUUGAAAUCUUCAAGGUUUUACCUUGACGAAUUGUAGUUUAAAGAAGUGUUUUCUGUUGGUGUUUUGGUAAAGUUCUUUGGAAUAGGACAUCAUAGAGGGUGAGAAUCCCGUAUUUGACCAUUAUUUCCAACUUUGUGAUACACUUUCAAAGAGUCGGAUUGUUUGGGAAUGCAGUCCAAAAUGGGUGGUAAAUUUCAUCUAAAGCUAAAUACUGGCGAGAGACCGAUAGCGAACAAGUACCGUGAGGGAAAGAUGAAAAGAACUUUGAAAAGAGAGUUAAACAGUACGUGAAAUUGUCAAAAGGGAAGCGUUUGACACCAGUGUUGUUUUCUCGAAAAUCAAUUAAAAAUGGCUUGAUUUUGUAUUGUAAUUGACUUAUCAGCUUACGGCUACUUUUUCUUAUUCUUUUUAAUGCACUUUUCGUUUAACAAGUCAACAUCAAUUUCUUUUGUUGUAAAAGAGUCAUUGGAAGGUGGCUUUCACUUUCGGAUGAAAGUGUUUAUAGCCUUUGACUUCUGCAAUCGGAGAGAUUGAGGCCUGCAGCGUAGAUCCUUCGGGGUUAGAUGCAUUUGUGCUAAGUUAUAGCCUUUCAUAGACAACUUGUUGACUAUGAUCAGUCAUGUAGCUUACUCGCUUAUGUCAUUUUACCUACGCUUAGGAUGUUGAAUCUGUGCGAGACUAC